rnacentral:rRNA from 1 species
UACGUAGGGCGCAAGCGUUAUCCGGAAUUACUGGGCGUAAAGAGCUCGUAGGUGGUUUGGUCGCGUUGUUCGUGAAAACUCACAGCUCAACUGUGGGCGUGCGGGCGAUACGGGCAGGCUAGAGUUCGGCAGGGGAGACUGGAAUUCCGUGGUGUAGCGGUGAAAUGCGCAGAUAUCAGGAGGAACACCGGUGGCGAAGGCGGGUCUCUGGGGCCG